rnacentral:rRNA from 1 species
UAGGGAAUAUUGCUUAAUGGGCGAAAGCCUGAAGCAGCAACGCCGCGUGUGCGAAGAAGGCCUUCGGGUUGUAAAGCACUUUUUGGAGGGAUGAGGAAGGACAGUACCUUCAGAAUAAGCCUCGGCUAACCACGUGCCAGCAGCCGCGGUAAAACGUAGGAGGCGAGCGUUAUCCGGAUUUACUGGGCGUAAAGCGCGUGUAGGCGGCUCGACAAGUUGGAUGUGAAAGCUCCUGGCUUAACUGGGAGAGGUCGUUCAAAACUGUCGGGCUAGAGUAUGAGAGAGGGAGGUGGAAUUCCGGGUGUAGUGGUGAAAUGCGUAGAUAUCCGGAGGAACACCAGUGGCGAAAGCGGCCUCCUGGCUCAAAACUGACGCUCAGACGCGAAAGCUAGGGUAGCAAACGG